rnacentral:rRNA from 1 species
UACAGAGGGGGCAAGCGUUAUUCGGAAUUAUUGGGCGUAAAGGGAGCGUAGGUGGGUUGGUAAGUCAGUGGUGAAAUCCCCGAGCUUAACUUGGGAACUGCCAUUGAUACGAUCAGUCUUGAAUACUGUGGAGGUUAGCGGAAUAUGUCAUGUAGCGGUGAAAUGCUUAGAUAUGACAUAGAACACCAAUUGCGAAGGCAGCUGGCUACACAAAUAUUGACACUGAGGCUCGAAAGCGUGGGGAUCAAACAGG